UACGUAGGGUGCGAGCGUUAAUCGGAAUUACUGGGCGUAAAGCGCACGUAGGUGGUUUGAUAAGUCGGAUGUGAAAUCCCUGGGCUCAACCUAGGAAUUGCAUUCGAUACUGUCUGACUAGAGUAUGGUAGAGGGGGGUAGAAUUCCCGGUGUAGCGGUGAAAUGCGUAGAUAUCGGGAGGAAUACCAGUGGCGAAGGCGGCCCCCUGGACCAAUACUGACACUGAGGUGCGAAAGCGUGGGUAGCAAACAGG
rnacentral:rRNA from 1 species